rnacentral:rRNA from 1 species
CCAGACUCCUACGGGAGGCAGCAGUGGGGAAUAUUGGGCAAUGGGCGCAAGCCUGACCCAGCAAUGCCGCGUGAAGGAAGAAGGCCUUCGGGUUGUAAACUUCUUUUAUCAGGGACGAAGGAUGUGACGGUACCUGAUGAAUAAGCUCCGGCUAACUACGUGCCAGCAGCCGCGGUAAUACGGAGGAUGCGAGCGUUAUCCGGAUUUAUUGGGUUUAAAGGGUGCGCAGGCGGCGUGUCAAGUCAGCGGUAAAAUGUCGGGGCUCAACCCCGGCCGGCCGUUGAAACUGGCGUGCUCGAGUUGGAGAGAAGUAUGCGGAAUUCGUGGUGUAGCGGUGAAAUGCAUAGAUAUCACGAAGAACCCCGAUUGCGAAGGCAGCAUACCGGCUCCACACUGACGCUGAGGCACGAAAGCGUGGGUAUCGAACAGGAUUAGAUACCCGGGUAG